UCGGCCGCCGCACCCCUACCCCGACGCGCCCGCGCCGCCGGCCGCAUCCUGCCCCGAUGAGCAGCUGGUUGAGCUUGGUGACGAGCUGGUAGUUGACCUUGCUCCACCACAGCGCCUCCACCGUCACCGCUGCGUCAGCCCAAAGGAGGAUGUCGUCCAGCGCGGUGUGGCUCUGCCCCUGUGGCUGGGCCACCCACUCAUCUAUCGCCACGCAGGAGAAGUAAAGUGCAGGACAGUAUAAGGGUCGCCGUAAUUAUGAUCCAUGCAAGAAACAACGCUCUGCCAAAAUUCAGAAAUUGUAAAACAUUAGUCUUUAGCACACACACCAAAUAUCUAAUCGAACGCGCGUAAGCUCUAUGUAUGUGCUAUUGUGCUUACGUGGACACAAGCGACUUCUUCCCGGUCAACGAGAACGCUGCAAUAGGUUGAGGAUAGAAAUUGCGUAAGAAUCAGAAAAAUAAAUGGUCUCGUAAUUUCAAGUACUAGUAUAUAUAUCUUUCUUUUGAUUUGAAGACUUGGUCAGAGCAAUUUAUGCUCACCGAAGCCAACAUGCACGAGGACCAGCAUCACGGCCGCGACGCCGAUCAGGACCUUCCUUCUGCAACCACGCAAAGCAAACAACCGAUCAAGAUCAGGAUCAUCCAUGGACGGUGCCACGAGCUCACCUCACGCGCAACGCAUUAAGAACUAUGCAGGUCACAGGCGAGGCGACGAAUCAGAGCCAGCGACCACGCUUUUGGUACGGUACGUACAUGGCGUCCAACGACGUUCGGAUCCUGUGGGAGUUACAAUGUCUAGCGGGUGCAGUGUCCAGUGAUGUUCAAAUAUACCUUAGGGCUUGUUCGUUUCACCGUUAAUCCAUGUGGAUUGGGUGGUAUUGAGUCGGUUUAAAUCCAUAACAAGUCAAAAUCCAUCCCAAUCCAUUUCAAUACACAUGUAAUUGGAAUAACCGAACAAGACCUUAAGGGGCACAGAAAACCAGAUCCUUCAAAUCUAGAUGUAUUGUGUAGCCAAAAGGCUACAGAUCAUCUCGUGAGUGUUUUGAAAUAUUUGGUAGGCUCUGUUUAUAUGGAUUUUUGUAUGUAAGAUUGUAUUGUUCUUUUGUAUGAGGCUGCAUAUGGCAAAGUAAUGUCUAGUUAGAACGGACCAGACUAUGACUGGAGGACCCCACCUAUUGAUCCUCAGGUUGUGUAUGCAAGUGGUGGAAAAGCUCAUGGAAGGUACACAAUGUUUGCUAACGUCAUCGACUCGAGCCAGGUGAGGGUUAAGCGUGGAGGUUCGUCGAGGUAUGAUGCUCGUAGCUCCCGUCGCUCCACUCAAGAUCCAGCAGAAGUGGCGCAACUCCGAGAAGAACUUAGGCGACAUCAGGAUUAUUUGAGACAACGCGCAACAUGAAUACUAUGCUACAUAGAUUCAAGAACAGCAAACACUCAUACAAGUUCAAAAGAUAAUAGCUUUCCCUUUAAGAUAUGUAUUGAUUUAAAACGCUGAUGUGAAUGAGUUCAACAAUUUUGUAGCAACUAGCACAAGUGUAAUACCCAAAAUUUGUAAAUCAUAAGAAGGAGAUAAUGUCCUUAUGUGUUUUGCUUCU